rnacentral:lncRNA from 1 species
GCCCGCCAAGCCUCGUAGGAGAUGGCAACAGGGCCUGCUGCUGCCACCUAGCGGCCAAUUCCGGGAAUGAAUCUCGGCACGCUCAUUACCCAGCGACUCUGCCCAUCUUGACCCUUUAUGUGAAGCAGAACAGCCGCUUCCGCAGUGAGCUGUCAGAAGGCGUCGUGCCUGUCUUGCUAGUGGGGAAACUGAGGCUCAGAGAGGCAGAAGACUUGCCCAAGAUCACACCACCGGGACCCAGGAUUCAAGCGCAGGCCUGCCCAGGCUCUCUGUGGCCUCCUGGCUGCGAGGAGGCAGCCAGGGACCAGGUGCCACCCUUCUGAGACACCUGAGAUCCCAGGCCCGAGAGGAUGAAGGCGGGAUUACCUGGAGCGUGUCUGAAUGCUGGAGGAAGAAGGGCAGCUGGGAGAUGAAGCUGUCAGGAUGGGCCGCAUCCCAUUUCCUGCCUCGUUUCAGUUCAACUUUCCAACAGACCUCCCUGGCUCGUCUUGCUCUUCUCUAAUGGACAAACAAACAGGCUCAGAGAGGUGGUGUGACUUGCCCAAGGUCACUCAGCUUGGAUGCUAUGGAACAGGGACGUCCACUGUCCCAGUCUGUUUAUGGGAAGCCGCUCUGCAACUGUCCUGACCCACCACAUGCCCCACCGCUGUUUCUCUUGCCCUGACCCCUUGUUCCCUGGACCAGGGUGGCACAGCUCCAGGCUCUUGGGCCCUUCCCGAGGGCAGGCACCUGUGACUGUGUCCCCAAAGACCUGAGUGGCUGAGGGGGCCCCACAGAGCUUGGACUUCCUGGAGGACAAGGAGGGGUCUGCCAGCCACCCCCACCACGCCCGCCCCAGGGCUCCCCUGGAGCUUCCAUGCCAGCCGGACUCAGGCUCCAGGUGCUGGGAGCAGCAGUGAACAAAGCCAACAGACACUGCCACCCUCAAGGAGUUCACGUUCAUGGGCGAGGGAACAGAUGAGAAACCCGGCAAUGAAAAUGGACUCUUGCUCUGUCGCCCAGGCUGGAGUUCAGUGGCGCGAUCUUGGCUCACUGCAACCUCUGUCUUCCAGGUUCAAGCAAUUCUGCCUCAGCCUCCCAAGUAGCUGGGACUACAAGUGCACGCCACCAUGCCUGGCUAAUUUUUGUAUUUUUAAUAGAGAUGGGGUUUUUUUUUCUUUCUUUUUUUUUUUUUUUGAGACAGGGUCUCACUCUGUCACCCAGGCUGGAGUGCAGUGUCACAAUCUCGGCUCACUGCAACCUCUGCCUCUUGGGUUCAAGCAAUUCUUCUGCCUCAGCCUCCUGAGUAGCUGGUAGCUGGGACUAUAGGCACGUGCCACCACACCCAGUUAAUUUUUUGUAUUUUUAGUAGAGAUGGGGUUUCACCGGGUUAGCCAGGAUGGUCUCAAUCUCUUGACCUCGUGAUCUGCCCGUUUUGGUCUCCCAAAGUGAUGGGAUUACAGGCGUGAGCCACCGCGCCAGGCUGAGAUGGGGUUUCACCACGUUGGCCAGGCUGGUCUGGAACUCCUGACCUCAGGUGAUCCGCCUGCCUUGGACUCCCAAAGUGCUGGGAUUACAGACGUGAGCCACCGUGCCCGGCCAGUUCUAUGAGUUUUGAUGAAUGUGUCCUGCUUCUUCCCAGGCUCCACCAUCUCUUCCCCUAAAGGCAACCACCAUUCUGAUUUCUCUCACCAAAGACUGGAAAAAUAUCCCAAUACCUGGAUGUAUGCCUCACGUGUCCCGCUGGCCCCAGCACCCAGGUAUAGUUAGUUACUGCUGUGCCUGGCUUCACUCUCACUUUUUUUUUUUUUUUCUUUUUUUGAGACAUAGUCUCGCUCUGUAGCCCAGGCUGGAGUGCAGUGUGGCACAAUCUCAGCUCACUGCAACCUUCACCUCCCAGGUUCAAGCGAUUCUCCUGCCUCAGCCUCUCGAGUAGCUGCGACUACAGGUGCCCACCACCACACCUGGCUAAUUUUUGUAUUUUUAGUAGAGAUGGGGUUUCACCUUGUUGGCCAGGCUGGUCUCGAACUCCUGACCUCAAGUGAUCCACCUGCCUCAGCCUCCCAAGGUGCUGGGAUUGCAGGCCGGCCUUACCUGGUAUGGUUUUUAGGUUCAUGUUGAUGCCUGGAGUUUCAGUAAUUCCCUCCCAUUCGUUGCUGAGUAGCACUGCAACACAUGCAGGCAGCUAUUUGGGGAUCUUUUCACCUGUUGAUGGGUGUCUGGACUGUUUCCAGUUUUUGGCUGUUACAAAUGAAGCCUCUGUGAGCCA